AUUGAACGCUGGCGGAAUGCUUUACACAUGCAAGUCGAGCGGCAGCGCGGGGCAACCUGGCGGCGAGCGGCGAACGGGUGAGUAAUACAUCGGAACGUGCCCAGACGUGGGGGAUAACUACUCGAAAGAGUGGCUAAUACCGCAUACGAUCUAAGGAUGAAAGCGGGGGAUCGCAAGACCUCGCGCGUUUGGAGCGGCCGAUGGCAGAUUAGGUAGUUGGUGGGGUAAAGGCUUACCAAGCCCGCGAUCUGUAGCUGGUCUGAGAGGAUGAUCAGCCACACUGGGACUGAGACACGGCCCAGACUCCUACGGGAGGCAGCAGUGGGGAAUUUUGGACAAUGGGCGAAAGCCUGAUCCAGCCAUUCCGCGUGCAGGAUGAAGGCCCUCGGGUUGUAAACUGCUUUUGUACAGAACGAAAAAGCUCUUUCUAAUACAGAGAGUCCAUGACGGUACUGUAAGAAUAAGCACCGGCUAACUACGUGCCAGCAGCCGCGGUAAUC
rnacentral:rRNA from 1 species